GAUUGAACGCUGGCGGCAGGCCUAACACAUGCAAGUCGAACGGUAACAGGAAGCAGCUUGCUGCUUYGCUGACGAGUGGCGGACGGGUGAGUAAUGUCUGGGAAACUGCCUGAUGGAGGGGGAUAACUACUGGAAACGGUGGCUAAUACCGCAUAACGUCGCAAGACCAAAGAGGGGGACCUUCGGGCCUCUUGCCAUCAGAUGUGCCCAGAUGGGAUUAGCURGUUGGUGAGGUAACGGCUCACCAAGGCGACGAUCCCUAGCUGGUCUGAGAGGAUGACCAGCCACACUGGAACUGAGACACGGUCCAGACUCCUACGGGAGGCAGCAGUGGGGAAUAUUGCACAAUGGGCGCAAGCCUGAUGCAGCCAUGCCGCGUGUAUGAAGAAGGCCUUCGGGUUGUAAAGUACUUUCAGCGGGGAGGAAGGUGUUGUGGUUAAUAACCGCAGCAAUUGACGUUACCCGCAGAAGAAGCACCGGCUAACUCCG
rnacentral:rRNA from 1 species